rnacentral:snRNA from 14 species
UUAGUUACCAGUUUUUUCGGUCCGAUCGUCCGGUCAGGUCCGAUUUUGAAAACCAUGACUUCCAUUGCACUUGGGAGGAGUGCCCGCCUAACAUCUCCCCAAGUGCGAGAGUGUACGUCAUUAUUUGUGGCAGUGGGGGAAUGCGUUCGCGCGGCCCCUAU